GCCCUUAGAGUUUGAUCCUGGCUCAGAUUGAACGCUGGCGGCAUGCCUAACACAUGCAAGUCGAACGGUAACAGGUCUUCGGAUGCUGACGAGUGGCGGACGGGUGAGUAAUGCGUAGGAAUCUGUCUUUUAGUGGGGGACAACCCAGGGAAACUUGGGCUAAUACCGCAUGAGCCCUGAGGGGGAAAGCGGGGGAUCUUCGGACCUCGCGCUAAGGGAGGAGCCUACGUCUGAUUAGCUAGUUGGUAGAGUAAAGGCCUACCAAGGCGACGAUCAGUAGCUGGUCUGAGAGGACGACCAGCCACACUGGGACUGAGACACGGCCCAGACUCCUACGGGAGGCAGCAGUGGGGAAUUUUUCGCAAUGGGGGCAACCCUGACGAAGCAAUGCCGCGUGGAUGAAGAAGGCCUUCGGGUUGUAAAGUCCUUUCGUGGAGGACGAAAAGGCGGGUUCUAAUACAAUCUGCUGUUGACGUGAAUCCAAGAAGAAGCACCGGCUAACUCCGUGCCAGCAGCCGCGGUAAUACGGGGGGUGCAAGCGUUAAUCGGAAUCACUGGGCGUAAAGGGUGCGUAGGCGGUACGUUAGGUCUGUCGUGGAAUCCCCGGGCUCAACCUGGGAAUGGCGGUGGAAACCGGCGGACUAGAGUAUGGGAGAGGGUGGUGGAAUUCCAGGUGUAGCGGUGAAAUGCGUAGAGAUCUGGAGGAACAUCAGUGGCGAAGGCGGCCACCUGGCCCAAUACUGACGCUGAGGCACGAAAGCGUGGGGAGCAAACAGGAUUAGAUACCCUGGUAGUCCACGCCCUAAACGAUGAAUACUAGAUGUUUGGUGCCACGCGUACUGAGUGUCGUAGCUAACGCGAUAAGUAUUCCGCCUGGGAAGUACGGCCGCAAGGUUAAAACUCAAAUGAAUUGACGGGGAAGGGC
rnacentral:rRNA from 1 species